GGGCUCGUGGCUCAGUAGCAGAGCGCGCCGUUCGCAACGGCGAGGCCGCGGGUGCGAUUCCCGCCGAGUCCA
rnacentral:tRNA from 1 species